rnacentral:rRNA from 1 species
GACGAACGCUGGCGGCGUGCCUAAUACAUGCAAGUAGAACGCACAGUUUAUACCGUAGCUUGCUACACCAUAGACUGUGAGUUGCGAACGUGUGAGUAACGCGUAGGUAACCUGCCUGGUAGCGGGGGAUAACUAUUGGAAACGAUAGCUAAUACCGCAUAAUAUUAAUUAUUGCAUGAUAAUUGAUUGAAAGAUGCAACUGCAUCACUACCAGAUGGACCUGCGUUGUAUUAGCUAGUAGGUGAGGUAACGGGUCACCUAGGCGAAGAUACAUAGCCGACCUGAGAGGGUGAUCGGCCAAACUGAGACUGAGACACGGCCCAGACUCCUACGGGAGGCAGCAGUAGGGAAUCUUCGGCAAUGGAAGGAAGUCUGACCGAGCAACGCCGCGUGAGUAGAGGAGGUUAUCGGAUCGUAAAACUCUGUUGUAAGAGAAGAACGGGUGUGAGAGUAGAAAGUUCACACUGUGACGGUAUCUUACCAGAAAGGGACGGCUAACUCCGUG